rnacentral:rRNA from 1 species
ACAUACGACCAUAGGAAGUGGAGAACAGGGCUUCCCGUCCGCUCAGCCGUACUUAAACCACUUGCCGGCCGGCUAGUAGUUGGGUGGGUGACCACCAGCGAAUCCCGGCUGUUGUAUGUU